CACGUAGGGCGCAAGCGUUGUCCGGAAUUAUUGGGCGUAAAGAGCUCGUAGGCGGUCUGUUGCGUCUGCUGUGAAAACUCGGGGCUUAACCCCGAGCCUGCAGUGGAUACGGGCAGACUAGAGGUAGGUAGGGGAGAUCGGAAUUCCUGGUGUAGCGGUGAAAUGCGCAGAUAUCAGGAGGAACACCGGUGGCGAAGGCGGAUCUCUGGGCCAUACUGACGCUGAGGAGCGAAAGCGUGGGGAGCGAACAGG
rnacentral:rRNA from 1 species